rfam:Candidatus Pacearchaeota archaeon RBG_13_33_26 RBG_13_scaffold_530, whole genome shotgun sequence.
GCGGAGGUGGCACAGCGGCUACUGCAAUCGGUUGCAGCCCGGUUAUUCGUGGGUUCGAGUCCCACCCUCCGCU